GUGCGUAGAAAGUAUUUCGGUAUGUAUCCGCGUACAAGGGAAAAAAAAUAACUAAAAAUCGAAACACAAAACAAAACGCGUAGGAGGCGAAAACGGACGGCUGCAAUAAUAACGGCGAUAUUGUUAAUAUCAUUACGCGAUACUCGCGGAGACUUUAACGGCCCGUCGCGAGUGCAUGGCGCGCUUCCCGGAUCACACUCUCGAGCGCGUUUUGAUUUAUUGUACUUUUUUUUUUUUUGUAUUAUUUCGUUCGCCAUCGCAAUAUAAUAUCACAUCGCGAAUAAUACAAUAGACUUUUACUUUUUUUUUUUUUUUUUUUUUUUUUAAUAUACGUAUACGCACCUAUUAUGGGUACAUAAUAUUAUACAUUCAUAGAUACGUGACGAUGACAACAAACACCGCCGCAGCCGGCGCUCUCGACGGUUUAAUUUUUUUUGUUUUUAUCUAUAGGCGCAUUCGUAAUAACAUAUAAUGGGUAGUACACAGUGUACACCGCGACUGCACGCCCACGAGCGAUUAUGCGAUAAUUUUUCGCCGGUAUAAUACAAUAACGAUAAUAAUAUUAUACCGCACGAGAAACGAAAUGACAACGAUGUCGUAUAGCGCCGCGCGGUCGUCCGACCGCGGGCGACAUGCCUCGGAUAACGCAUUACACUGCGGUGAAAUAACAAAACAAUGGCAAUAAACGCCACGCUGUUUUUCGUAAGAACGAACGAAAACAAACUGCAUCCUCUAUGCGCGUAUAAUAUAAUGGGACGUUAUGCUAAUAGAGAAUUCAAGAAUAUUAAAUUGUUAUUAUUAUUGUCUAUGUGCGUACACACACACACGCGCGCGCGCGCGCGCGAAAUCAUACGAUAUAAUAUGUAUUUCAAUUUACGUGUGUUCUAUGGGGUUAUUUUUUUAUUAUUUUUUUUUCUAUUCCUAUUGUAUUUAAUUUGUUUCACAAAUAUAAUAUUUUAUUAUUGUAUCACGGUAUCCGACCUUCAC